AAGGGGAGCACUCCCCAAGUAGAGCGGCGAACGGGUGAGUAACGCGUGGGUAAUCUGCCUCCGAGUGGGGAACAACACCGGGAAACUGGUGCUAAUACCGCAUGACAUCGUCGGGUUUUCGGAUCUGACGAUCAAAGCCGGGGACCGCAAGGCCUGGCGCUUGGAGAGGAGCCCGCGUCCGAUUAGCUAGUUGGUGGGGUAAUGGCCUACCAAGGCUUCGAUCGGUAGCCGGCCUGAGAGGGCGGACGGCCACACUGGGACUGAGACACGGCCCAGACUCCUACGGGAGGCAGCAGUGGGGAAUUUUUCGCAAUGGGCGAAAGCCUGACGAAGCAACGCCGCGUGGAGGGUGAAGGCCUUCGGG
rnacentral:rRNA from 1 species